rnacentral:rRNA from 1 species
AUUGAACGCUGGCGGCAUGCCUUACACAUGCAAGUCGAGCGGCAGCGCGGGGGCAACCCUGGCGGCGAGCGGCGAACGGGUGAGUAAUACAUCGGAACGUGUCCAGUAGCGGGGGAUAACCUGUCGAAAGAUAGGCUAAUACCGCAUACGACCUACGGGUGAAAGCGGGGGACCGCAAGGCCUCGCACUAUUGGAGCGGCCGAUGUCGGAUUAGCUAGUUGGCGGGGUAAAAGCCCACCAAGGCGACGAUCCGUAGCUGGUCUGAGAGGA